UUAUCUACGGAAGCCGAGAACGGCCAUCGAUUAUUUAUUUUUUUAUGCACUGUUAUCUCGUGAUAACGACUUAUUAUCUCGUUUUCUCGAUAUAACAAAGGUCGUUUUCUCGUGAUAACGAAUUAAUUAUCUCGUUUUCUCGAUAUAACAAAGGUUGUUUUCUCGUGAUAACGAAUUAAUUAUCUCGUUUUCUCGAUAUAACAAAGGUCGUUUUCUCGUGAUAACGAAUUAAUUAUCUCGUUUUCUCGAUAUAACAAGGAUCGUUUUCUCGUGAUAACGAAUUAAUUAUUUCGUUAUCUCGAUAUAACAGACAGACUUUUGGCGCUGGUUAAUGUGAUCGUGCUGAUUUCAGCCUACGAGAGCUUCCACUGUCUGAUCCAGGUGUGUCCCAGGGAGGUGAAAAUGGCAGAUCACAUUAUUGAUCAACGCAUCAGGACCUACUUCAACCAAGGUCUAACACAGGCAGAAAUUGCAUUGUGCC